UACGGAGGGUGCGAGCGUUGAUCGGAAUUACUGGGCGUAAAGCGCGCGUAGGCGGUUCGUUAAGUUGGAUGUGAAAGCCCCGGGCUCAACCUGGGGACUGCAUCCAAAACUGGCGAGCUAGAGUAUGGUAGAGGGUGGUGGAAUUUCCUGUGUAGCGGUGAAAUGCGUAGAUAUAGGAAGGAACACCAGUGGCGAAGGCGACCACCUGGACUGAUACUGACACUGAGGUGCGAAAGCGUGGGGAGCAAACAGG
rnacentral:rRNA from 1 species